UAACCCUAGAAAGAUAACGUGCGCCUCAGAGGCGCCCGCGAAAUAUAUAUUUCGCUGCCAUUUUGUUACCGACGCGCAUACAAGUUUGUGUUUCCUCGCCAAUUCAGUCCUUGGUCAUCACUUCCGAGAGACGGCUGCAUCUGUUCGGAGCGUUUUCGCAUCAUGGCGAGCAGAAGAGUGUUGGUAAAAAAGAGAAAUUGUUUAUUUAUUGAAUGAAGAAGAUGAAGGCGCAGAUGUCGGCAGUGACAGUGAGAUCGAGGACCAUGUAAG